CCAAAGCAAGAACAAAGGAAGAAAAGAAAGAACAAGAACCCUAGGAUGAAAAUUCAAGAGAAAAUUGAUAGAUUUCAAGUAAUCAAGCAAUCAAAGGUAAAAUUUUUUGAUUUUGACUUGUGAUCUACCUUUCCCAUACAUUCUUUUGCAUUUUUCAUGGUUGAAUCACAUGAUUUCAUGACGGGUAUCUUGCUGGCUGAACACUUAGAGAGAGGUUUUGAUGCUUGAUUUGGUUAGAUUUCAAUGUAUUUUAGUGUUUUUAGUUGAUUGGUGAUGUGUAGGAUGAAAAUCAAGUAAGAAAAAUUCAUGUUCUUCCAUCACCCAUCAUUGGCUGAAUUCUCCAUGUGGAAUAUUGAUGAUGAUUUUGAUUUUAUUUCGAGUGAUUUGGUUAGGAAUUAAUGAUUUAUGGUGUGAGAAUUAAGUAGGAAAAAUCAUAGUGUUGUUGCACCCACCAUGGUCGAAUUUCCAAGAGAAUAUGUGAGGAUGAUUUUGCCAUAUUUCAAGUUAUUUAAUUUGUGUUUGAUGAUUUGAAGUAUUGGGAGAGAAAUGGAAUUAUUUGGAGUUAAAUUGGACAUAUUGGCCAAUUAAUCGGGUGAUAGAUUGAAUUAGGCCAAUACAGUUUUAUUUAGGUACAUAAUUGAAUUUAUAUUGAACACCGUAUUAAGAUAGUUACCCGAGUAUUUACAUCCCAUUUCAUGCAUUAGUAUGAAGCUUGAAUUGAUUUUAUAACAAUUUAGCACAAAUGUAGUAAAUGGCUUAUUGUGCAUUAUGUCUAGGUGGUGAGCAUUUUGGCAAAAGUAAAGAGAUAGUACCCGAGGAUCAAGAAUCGGAGUACUCAAAUUCGACUCCCAAAAUAGUGAGUAACCUUACUAACGUCUUAAUUAUCUAAAAUAGUUUUUAUUCGUUUUUGUGAUUUUAUAGAAAAAUAUGUUUAAAUGGUAAAUCUUUAGGUUUUAUAAACAAAAUGUGUUUAAAUGAAUGAUUUUAUAAAUUGUCUUGAAAUUGAAUGAUGGUUUUGAAAAUGGAGUAAUUGGAGACUAAUUGUUGUGUUAUAAAUCAUGGUUUGAAUGGAAUGGCUUAUGAUAAUAUUGGCAUGAAUAGUUGAAUUGGUAUUUGUGUUGAAAAUGUAUAAACUGUUGUUUGCCUUGAUAGGCUGGAUAAUGAUAAAAUUGCCAUGUCAUACUGUUGAAUUUUACUGAAUUGGUGGGUUAUUGAUUAGUCUCUGCAGUAGACGGGUUCCGUGGACCAACUUAUUAGAGGGGGCACGGUAACCCUAUUUUAUUCAUACCUCAAUAUGACAGGCGCGAUUGGAUAACUCCUGAGGUUAAAACUUUAGAGUUCACUUUACGCCAAACCACCACGUGAGGGUGAACUCAGUCAACGCCAAGGAAUGGCUAUGUUUUCAAAAUAAAAACAUGAUUUAUGCGUACAUAACUUUUUAACAGCCUUGACAGACUCGGUUGGGAUAGCCCUCGACCAAGGUAUCCCUGAUAACUGAGUAUGAGAAUGAUUUGGCACGAGCCAAACUUUUCAGGAAAUCAUAAGCCUCGUUGUUUAUUUGGGUGAGAUGAAUCUAUUUUAUCUUAUUAAAAUGAGUUCUAAAUGCUGUGAAUCAUUUUUAUGUUAAACUAUUUUAUCUGUCUCCAUUUACUCAGCUUUAGAUAUUUUAGAUGGUAUUUGUUUACUCACUGGGAUUAUAUAAUCUCACCACCCUCCUUUCCACCCAUUUUAGGCUUAGGAUAGUCGGUAGAUAGCUCACUUUGUUGAGGGCUACAAUUGAACUUGCAUCCUAAAAAACUGUAGGUUUACCGUUUUUGAUACUUUUGAUCGUUUGUGGGCCCACCUGUCACUGUAAAUUAAAUUUUAUACUUUGGUUAGCUAUAUUACAAUAUGUAUGAAUUUAUUUAGCUUUUAAGCUACAAAAUUUAUUUACCGAUAACUCUAUAAAUAUUGUUU
rnacentral:lncRNA from 1 species